GCCGGCGUGGCGGAACUGGCAGACGCACAGGACUUAAAAUCCUGCGGACCUAAUCGUCCGUACCGGUUCGAUUCCGGUCGCCGGCA
rnacentral:tRNA from 2 species